UUUUUUUUUUUCAGUAGAUUUUUUUUGUCACUGCUUCCAAAUAAUUCUAAAUCUUGCAUGUUUGCCAAACAAGGAAGACAACAGCACCCUGCUCAUCCGAGGUUACAGGAGGCUGGGGACUGAUUUCCUUUUGAAAUUCAGUUACAGAAAUAGGCCAUUGUGUGUCUUGCUGACACAAUCACAAAUGCUCAGUGGCUUAAGACAUGUCAUGUAGGCAAGAUGUGCACCACAAGCAGCUUAUGCCAGGCAAAAAUGCUGGUGGGGGCUGCCUCAGCUGUUCAGAACUCCAGCUGCUCUUCCAGAGGACCCAGGAUCAAUUCCCAACACCCACAUGGCGGUUCACAACCACCUCUAACUCCAGUUCCAGGGGCUCCGACAAGUUCUUCUGGUCUCUGCAGGCAUGUAUGUAGGAUACAGACCCUUGCAAACAAAACACCAUAUGCAUAAAAUAAAAUAAUUUAAAAAAAAAA
rnacentral:lncRNA from 1 species